ensembl:snRNA U4 U4 spliceosomal RNA
AGCUUUGCCCAGUGGCAGUAUCGUAGCCAAUGAUGUUUAUCCGAGGAGCAAUUAUUGCUAAUUGAAAAGUAAUACAUGCUCAUUUUAGAAAACUGAGAAACUAUUAUAAAGAAUA